AAUAUCUCGAGAUUCCCUCUUGAACAUCCAGCCUUUCCAUUGACUGGUAUUGCUGAUGCUUGGUACAGUUGAUGCUUGGCGUACCGAGCGAAUGUCUUCACCUGACCAAUCUUCUUAGCACUCUUCUACCCGGUCUGGGUUGCCCAAACACCCCUCUGUUUGGUUUGAGUUGCCCGAGCACCUUUUUACUCGGUCUAACUCUUUGAUCAAGUGCUAACACUUUGACUGUUACGUUGGACUCUUCAUCUAAGCUAUGACUAUUUGGCUCGAUUUUAGGCGGGUAGUAUCAAAU
rnacentral:misc_RNA from 1 species